UACGGGAGGCAGCAGUGGGGAAUAUUGCACAAUGGGCGCAAGCCUGAUGCAGCCAUGCCGCGUGUAUGAAGAAGGCCUUCGGGUUGUAAAGUACUUUCAGUCGUGAGGAAGGUGUUAAGGUUAAUAACCUUAGCAAUUGACGUUAGCGACAGAAGAAGCACCGGCUAACUCCGUGCCAGCAGCCGCGGUAAUACGGAGGGUGCGAGCGUUAAUCGGAAUUACUGGGCGUAAAGGGCACGCAGGCGGUUAAUUAAGUUGGAUGUGAAAUCCCCGGGCUUAACCUGGGAAUGGCAUUCAAGACUGGUUAGCUAGAGUCUUGUAGAGGGGGUAGAAUUCCAUGUGUAGCGGUGAAAUGCGUAGAGAUGUGGAGGAAAUACCGGUGGCGAAGGCGGCCCCUGGACAAAGACUGACGCUCAUGUGCGAAAGCGUGGGGAGCAAACAGGGAUUAGAUACC
rnacentral:rRNA from 1 species